rnacentral:pre_miRNA from 1 species
UCUUUGAGGGGUAAUGCUGUACGUUGUAUGUUUUGUUUAUUUGAAAAUAUCUAAACUCCGUUUAUAUGAUAUGCAUAAGCGUAUAGCUUUUCCCCUUAAAUG